ensembl:snRNA U4 U4 spliceosomal RNA
AGCUUUGUGCACUGGCUGUGCUGUAGCCAAUGAGGUUUAUGGGAGGCAGGAUUAUUGCUAAUUGAAAAGUUGCCCCAGCACUUUAGUAAAAAAGCCAUAUGAGAAUUGGCAGACAUAGUAAAAAUGA